CCCUUAUGGCCGAAUAUCCAAGGUUUCCAGAGUAAAGCUGAUCUGCUCUGGGUAAGUCGGGGCCUAAGGCGAGGACGAGAGUCGUAGCCGAUGGACAACAGGUGGAGAUUCCUGUACUGCGGUAUGACAGAACUGUGGGGACACGUAAGGAAAGCGGAAGCCGGGAAUGGAAAGCCCGGUGCAAGCGGGGUACCAGCCACUUUGGCAAAUCCGGGUGGCAAUGGGAAGCCGUGAUGCGGAGCGAAAUAAAGUAGCGAAGUCCGUGAGCCAUGCGUCAAGAAAAGCCGCUAUUGUUUAUACCGUACCCGUACCGUAAACCGACACAGGUGGAUGAGGAGAGAAUCCUAAGGCCGGCGGAAGAAGCAUUGUCAAGGAACUCGGCAAAAUGGCCCCGUAACUUAGGGAUAAGGGGUGCCUGGGAAACCAGGCCGCAGAGAAUAGGCUCAAGCAACUGUUUAGCAAAAACACAGGUCUAUGCGAAACCGAAAGGUGAGGUAUAUGGGCUGACGCCUGCCCGGUGCUGGAAGGUUAAGAGGAGAGGUUAGCGGUAACGCGAAGCUUUGAAUUUAAGCCCCAGUAAACGGCGGCCGUAACGAUAACGGUCCUAAGGUAGCGAAAUUCCUUGUCGGGUAAGUUCCGACCCGCACGAAAGGCGUAAUGAUUUGAGCGCUGUCUCGACAAUGCAUCCGGUGAAAUUGAAGUACCAGUGAAGAUGCUGGUUACCUGCGCCAGGACGGAAAGACCCCAUGGAGCUUUACUCCAGUCUGGUACUGGGACUCGGUAUUGCAUGUACAGGAUAGGUGGGAGGCUAGGAGAUGGUAACGCCAGUUGCCAUGGAGCCGCUGUUGGGAUACCACCCUUGCAGUAUUGGGUUUCUAACCAGCCGCCGUGACCCGGCGGUGGGACAAUGCCAGACGGGGAGUUUGACUGGGGCGGUCGCCUCCGAAAGGGUAUCGGAGGCGCCCAAAGGUUCCCUCAGAAUGGACGGAAACCAUUCGAAGAGUGCAAAGGCAGAAGGGAGCUUGACUGCGACACCGACGGGUGGAGCAGGUACGAAAGUAGGGCUUAGUGAUCCGGUGGUAUUAAGUGGGAAUGCCAUCGCUCAACGGAUAAAAGCUACCCUGGGAUAACAGGCUUAUCACUCCCAAGAGUUCACAUCGACGGAGUGGUUUGGCACCUCGAUGUCGGCUCAUCGCAUCCUGGGGCUGUAGUAGGUCCCAAGGGUUGGGCUGUUCGCCCAUUAAAGCGGUACGCGAGCUGGGUUCAGAACGUCGUGAGACAGUUCGGUCCCUAUCCGGCCUGGGCGUAGGGUAUCUGAGAGGAGCUGUCCUUAGUACGAGAGGACCGGGAUGGACGGGCCGCUGGUGCAUCGGUUAGACUGCCAAGUCUACGGCCGAGUAGCCAAGCCCGGAAGGGAUAAACGCUGAAGGCAUCUAAGCGUGAAGCCCCCCUUAAGAUGAGAUAUCCCAUUCGUUAAGAAGUAAACCCCCUUGAAGACGACGAGGUAGAUAGGGCAGAGGUGGAAGUGCAGCAAUGCAUGGAGCUGACUGUUACUAAUCGGGUGAGGGCUUGACC
rnacentral:rRNA from 1 species